GCUGUCAAAGGCAGCAUUACUGCCCUGUGGGUAACCUAGUAUGAUAUUAAUAGCCGUCUUCGUUGCACUUUCCUCCUGCUUGUCGAGGUUUUGUUAAAACAAUAGUUAUUUAUAAUUAUAAAAGUGUAAAAUUUAAGCCUGUUUUUUCGUCACGUUCCCGUACUAGAAUAACUAGUACGGGGACAAAAUUGCGAUGCAUGAUAGCAAUACAUCCUCUUCGUUUAUAUGAUGUAUAUCAUCGUCCGGUUGUCCAUGAAUCUAUGAUGCACUUUUAUGUAUGUGUAUUAUCAUACAAACCGGCAUAUUGAUAAUCGGCAUAAUCUGACCCUCACCCCGCUCCCCACUCCUAACCGCAGCACCUAACUCCUCACCCUGUGGCUCUGUGCGCUUAGUUGUAAAUCAGGAUGGGGGAGGGGGAUUAGCCCGUGUGUUUAAUUAAGUAAAAAUUUUCCAAUCUUCUCAAAAGCAAAGACAAAAUUCUCUGCGUUUUCGGAAACGAAUUUUCAAAUAUAUCCUAUAAACAUGGAUGCAUCCAGUGAAUCAAGCAUUUCCCAUUGCCCAUUUCCCUCGUGUUCAGAAAGAUUUUCUCAUGCUUGUAUAAAUAUAUGGUUGAUGCAUUAUUAAGAUGUCCCCGACAUGACAUUUAUUAGCGAGCUUGAGCAAGGGACGUUUUUGUCAACAUUCACCUUUUUGCCCGCGCGUCUCUCCUCCGCCCGAUUUUCACCUUUGAGCUUUUAAUAGGCGAAAAAAAUAAAGGCCCGACAUUCACGUUAACACGGACGUCACCCGAAAAUGGCAUCUAAUUUUGGUAGCAUUUUGCAUCAUAGCGCUCGUGUAAGGAAGCAAAAAACUUUAAAAUCAUCUUGCAUUUUGUCAGAUGUGUUAAAGAUUAAUCAUCUUGCAUUUUGUCAGAUGUGUUAAAGAUUACCUUGACGUCACAAACUGAUACAAACACAGUUUUUUAAUCCAGUCCUCCUUGAGCUCAGUGGUAGUUGACAAUCGCAAGAUAAAAGAUGUUUGCAUUGAUGCAUGGACGUUCUUUUGACCAAAUUCAACUAACACUUAUCCAGCACAUCUUUUUGGGCAACAAUCUUGAUAAUAUUGACAAAC